rnacentral:rRNA from 1 species
AUUGAACGCUGGCGGCAGGCCUAACACAUGCAAGUCGAGCGAGCGGCGGAGGGGUGAGUAAUGUCUGGGAGACUGCCUGAGGGAGGGGGGGAACACCAGGAAACGGUGGCGAAUAUAGCAUACGCUAACAUGUGCACAGAUGGGGUUAGCUAGUAGGGGGGGUAACGGCUCACCUAGGGGACGAUCCCUAGCUGGUCUGAGAGGAUGACCCGCCACACUGGAACUGAGACACGGUCCAGACUCCUACGGGAGGCAGCAGUGGGGAAUAUUGCACAAUGGGCGCAAGCCUGAUGCAGCCAUGCCGCGUGUGUGAAGAAGGCCUUCGGGUUGUAAAGCACUUUCAGCGGGGAGGCGUUACCCGCAGAAGAAGCACCGGCUAACUCCGUGCCAGCAGCCGCGGUAAUAC